GGGAGGGCAUGCUGUGAUUGACGGAGGUCAAGAUGGCGGCGCCCGUUGUUAUUCCGGAUACAGACAGUGUUCGAAAGGCAGUGGCUCUCAUCAGUGCCAUAGAUACAGGCAGGUUCUCUCGGUUACUUUCGCGCAUCCUUCAGAAGCUUCACUUAAAGGCAGAGAGUACUUUCACAGAAGAGGAGGAAGAAAAGCUUCAGGCUGCUUUCUCAGUGGAAAAGCAAGAUUUACAUCUUGUUCUUGAAACUAUAACAUUCAUUUUGGAACAGGCUGUAUAUCACAAUUUGAAGCCAGCAGUUCUGAAACAGCAGUUGGAGCAUUCUAACAUAGAUCAUGACAAAGCAGAAGUCUUUGCAACAACAUGGUCUGCUGCAGGUCCAGAGAUGGUGGAGAAGUUCAGACAAAGGAUUUUGUCACCUCAUAAGCUUGAGACAGUUGGAUGGCAGCUUAACCUUCAGAUGGCUCAAUCUACCCAAGCAAAACAGAAAUCUCCUCAAGCUGUAUUAGAACUUGGUGUGACCAAUGAAGAUUCAAAGAACAUGGAGAAAGUAUUUGUGGAAUUCAGUCAUGAAGAACUGUUUGAGUUCUAUAACAAGUUGGAGACUAUACAAACUCAGCUGGAUUCUCUUACGUGAUACUGUGUGAAGACUACUUUAUCACAUUCCAGCCGCUUCAAUACUGAAGAUAGAUUGGCUGACAGUAUUUGCUGAAAUACUCAGUUGCUUCUCAGGUCGGUGGCUAAAUUCCUCCCUCCCAUGUGGGUCUGAGUGUCUUCAUCACAGUUUUGUGGAGCACAGGAUGGUGUCCCCUCCUCUGGUGGCCCCUCCAUGGGAAGAUCCUAAUGAAGCUGUGGUCUGAAAAUGGAAUGACUCCUGAUUCUCCUGGUCCUGUCACAUUCUUCCACUCCACUGCCUCUUGCCCCUUCUUUUCUUCCUUUUCCUUGGAAACCAUCCCUUUCCAUUGCUUUUUCAGGAAAGAAAGAAGAGGAAAGGAAUGGACAAACAGGGUUAUGGACAGAGGUUAUUGGGUGAUUAUUCUGCUCACAGCAUACAAUGCAAGUAGAACAGGCUUUCUGGCCUCCAAAGACUUGAAUUCAUUAUCCUUUAUAAUGAAGGCAUGAUUUCCUUAUGGGAUUUUAAGGCCUGCAUUGGGGUUUUCCCCCAACACUUAACUGUAUAAAAAUUCAACACAGGGAGUUAAAUGAUGAAGUUCAUUUCAUCAUUUCAUACUCCCAAUUAGUCAUUUCAGAAUGCCCAUGCAUGCCAAACAAAGUUUCUUCUUAGAUGAGACUUGGGGGAGAUCGACACUGGAGCCCCUUCCGAUUACAAGGGAAGCUGCUCUGGUGUUUAUGCAAAACACAAAAGGCAUCUAUCACAGUCCGGGCACAUGCUCAUGAAUAAAGAGUCUUUCAAAAUGGGAGCUGGUGUCACACACAAAUGCAAGUGCGUUGUGGGAGAAGUCAAGGGAGUUUGAAAGGGGAUGUAUGCAGGGAAAUGGCUCUUUAAGAUUCCUUUGUUUUGUGCUUGUUUGUUUUGUAGCUCAAUUAGCUAUGCAAAGGUGUGAUGGGAGCCAAACAGAGAUAGUUUUGAAAAGAAAAGAAAAGAAAACCAGUUGACAGCUCUUCUGCUCCCUGACAAAGUCAUGGAGAAGGAGAAGGGGUGCUGCCCUCU